rnacentral:sRNA from 1 species
UGGGUCUGCCUUACAAACAUACAAACACAUUUAUUUACUUGGCAGACGUACCUGAGAAUGAGAGGUGUGAAUCUGGGGUGGAACCCAGGAACACUGAUUUCUGGAAAAGAGUUUGGAUGGUGGUAGUAAAGGGGAUAUGGCUGUGGCUCUUGCCCUUUUUGCUCCAGGAAGUGGACAAAAUUAUCCUACAGAUGAUGCGAGUGGCUGAAUACCUGGAUUGGGAUGUGUCUGAGCUGAGGCCGAUUCUUCAGGAGAUGAUGAAAGAGAUUGACUAUGAUGGGAGUGGCUCUGUCUCUCAAGCUGAGUGGGUCCGGGCUGGGGCCACCACCGUGCCACUGCUAGUGCUGCUGGGUCUGGAGAUGACUCUGAAGGACGAUGGACAGCACAUGUGGAGGCCCAAGAGGUUCCCCAGACCAGUCUACUGCAAUCUGUGCGAGUCAAGCAUUGGUCUUGGCAAACAGGGACUGAGCUGUAACCUCUGUAAGUACACUGUUCACGACCAGUGUGCCAUGAAAGCCCUGCCUUGUGAAGUCAGCACCUAUGCCAAGUCUCGGAAGGACAUUGGU